rnacentral:rRNA from 1 species
AACGAACGCUGGCGGCAUGCCUAACACAUGCAAGUCGAACGAGACCUUCGGGUCUAGUGGCGCACGGGUGCGUAACGCGUGGGAACCUGCCCUUAGGUUCGGAAUAACUCCCCGAAAGGGGUGCUAAUACCGGAUAAUGUCUUCGGACCAAAGAUUUAUCGCCUUUGGAUGGGCCCGCGUUGGAUUAGCUAGUUGGUAGGGUAAAAGCCUACCAAGGCGACGAUCCAUAGCUGGUCUGAGAGGAUGAUCAGCCACACUGGGACUGAGACACGGCCCAGACUCCUACGGGAGGAAGCAGUGGGGAAUAUUGGACAAUGGGCGAAAGCCUGAUCCAGCAAUGCCGCGUGAGUGAUGAAGGCCUGAGGGUUGUAAAGCUCUUUUACCCGGGAUGAUAAUGACAGUACCGGGAGAAUAAGCUCCGGCUAACUCCGUG